rnacentral:rRNA from 1 species
UACGAAGGGGGCUAGCGUUGCUCGGAAUCACUGGGCGUAAAGCGCACGUAGGCGGAUUGCUAAGUCAGGGGUGAAAUCCUGGAGCUCAACUCCAGAACUGCCCUUGAUACUGGCGGUCUCGAGUCCGGGAGAGGUGAGUGGAACUGCGAGUGUAGAGGUGAAAUUCGUAGAUAUUCGCAAGAACACCAGUGGCGAAGGCGGCUCACUGGCCCGUACGUGACGCUGAGGUGCGAAAGCGUGGGGAGCAAACAGG